AUUAUUAUCAAUUGACAAUAAAAAAUUUAUUAGCAUCUUGUUAGCAUUUAUUGUUGACGUUUAUUUUGGAUAGUUUUUUUUUUGUUUGUUAUUUAUAGCGAAAGAACGCUUUGUGUGUGUAUUUAAAACUAUUGAAUUUUGCGAAAAGACGCUAUCGUUGUGUACCUAAACAAUGCCUAAGUAUAAAAAAGUGGUGCGACAAGGACGUGCAAAAGUAGCAAAGAUGAACGAAGCUCGCCAGGCUAAAAGAAAAGGAC
rnacentral:misc_RNA from 1 species